rnacentral:tRNA from 1 species
AUACCUUAGAGCCUAAUGAUAAAGCGUUGGCCUCCGGAACCAGAGAUUGUGAGAUCAAGCCUCACAAAGGAUA